ACUCAAAGGAAUUGACGGGGACCCGCACAAGCGGUGGAGCGUGUUGUUUAAUUCGAUGAUAAGCGAAGAACCUUACCCAGGCUUGACAUCCUUGGAAUUUCUUCGAAAGAAGAAAGUGCUUUAUUGAGCCAAGUGACAGGUGAUGCAUGGCCGUCGUCAGCUCGUGUCGUGAGAUGUUUGGUUAAGUCCAUCAACGAGCGCAACCCUUAUGUCCAGUUGGAUUUCUCUGGACAGACUGCCCUGGUAACAGGGAGGAAGGGGGGGAUGAUGUCAGGUCAGUAUUUCCCUUACGUCUGGGGCUACAAACACGCUACAAUGGCCGGUACAAAGGGCUGCCAACCCGCGAGGGGGAGCAAAUCCCAUCAAAGCCGGUCUCAGUUCGGAUUGCAGGCUGAAACUCGCCUGCAUGAAGCCGGAAUCGCUAGUAAUGGUAGGUCAGCACACUACCGUGAAUACGUUCCCGGGUCUUGCACACACCGCCCGU
rnacentral:rRNA from 1 species